GGGAGGGUGUGACUAGUGACAGAGUUAGGGAGGGAAGGGGUAACUAGUGACAGAGGGAGGGGUGACUAGGGACAGAGUGAGGGAGAUGGUGACUAGUGACUAGUGACAGUCAUCACCUCUGUCACUAGUCACCACCUCCCUCCCUCUGUCACCAGUCAUCCCCUUACUCUGUCACUAGUCACCCCUUCCUUCCCUCACUCUGCCACUAGUCACCCCUUCCCUCACUCUGUCACUAGUCACCCCCUCACUCAAAUGACAGAGUGAGGGAGGGUGUGACUAGUGACAGAGAGAGGGAGGGUGUGACUAGUGACAGUCACCCCCUCCCUCACUCUGUCACUAGUCACCCCUUCCUUCCC